UACGUAGGGUGCAAGCGUUGUCCGGAUUCAUUGGGCGUAAAGGGUGCGUAGGCGGCGCGGUAAGUCGGGUGUGAAAUCCCCCCAGCUUAACUGAGGAAUUGCGCCCGAAACUGCUGCGCUCGAGGGAGACAGAGGUGAGCGGAACUGAUGGUGGAGCGGUGAAAUGCGUUGAUAUCAUCAGGAACACCGGUGGCGAAAGCGGCUCACUGGGUCUCUUCUGACGCUCAGGCACGAAAGCUAGGGGAGCAAACGGG
rnacentral:rRNA from 1 species